GCCCUAGUGGUGCAAUGGUUAAGCACUUGGCUGCUAAUCGAAAGGCUGGUGGUUUGAAUCCACCCAGCCGCU
rnacentral:tRNA from 1 species